CCCCCGUGGCCCCGCCCCCGCCCCGGCCGCGGGCCCGGAGCCGCUGCAGACCCGGUGCCCCGCGCACCUGGCGGGGAGAAAGUUCGGGGUCCGCGAACACGCCGUGACCUUGAGACGGCGGCUCCCUGUCCCCGCGCCCGCCCCGCGGGGCGGCCAGGAGGGGGCGCUCGGGCGCAAGGGUCGGGGUCGGGGACCCGCCCUUGCCGUCCCACCGGUCUGCGGCGCCUCGGAGCCGGAGCCCGACCCGGACCGAGGCCCCAGGCCCCGUUUUGCGGGCCGGGCCGGGAAUUCGGGGGCGUCUGGCCGCUGUGGGCUCGGCGACUUCCAGACGCGCUCGAGCUGCGCCCGCCCGCCCGCUCGCUCCUGCAGAAGGCCCGGAAGUCCGCCCGGAGCCCUGCCCGCCGGCCUGUUUCCCGGGUUCUCGGACGGAGCCGGCCCGGCCCUGGCAGUUGUUUUGCCCUCGCUGAAGACCGGUGGCGUCGCCGAGGCUGAGCGCCCGCCCUUCCCGGUCCCCCGGCCCCACCACACCUGGCCAGCGCCACCCUGACUCCGGGCUGCGGCGUCGCCCUCGUCUGCGGACGGAGCCGCGCGCGCGCGGCCUCCUGACUUUCCGGCACGGCUUCGUGGGGAAGCCAGACGGCGCUCCGAAGGACAGCCGCGCAGGCCGCGCCUCCGGUGGCGGGGAACGACGGGAGUAAACCCUGCGUUCGGCCUGAUGCCCCCACUCUUCCUCCUCCGACCGAACUUUGGUGCCGUGGACCCCGCGACAUCCGGCUCCUGCACCACGGUCACGAGAAGCAGCACGUUUUAAUUCUAAAGCCUCGGGCUUUCCUUCCUAAGCGAGUUGUUCCAAAACAUCGCAUUUUCCGGAUUCCGAGUGACAAGGGACAGUAAGGCAGAGAAGGUGCGGAUCGUCCCUGCAACGCUAACUACAAGGCCUGGGAGGGCUGCGCUCCAGCUCGCAGACAGCGGAGAGCUCACGUUCCUCCCUCGCUCCCCACCUCCGUCCCUGUUAGCUUCUCCGAUUAGGACCGCAGCGCAGGUCUGGGCCCACACAGGUGAGGACGUGUGCGAAGCUGAUUGCUGGUUGGAACCGAGUCCCUGGCUCUGUUGAGCGAAUGAGCUUGCCCCGCCCACACACGUGAACUUGUCCGUCCUCCUGGAGGAAGAAAGAUUCCCGAAGCAAAGUACCGAGUAGCAGAACGAGGGACGGGGUGUUGGCCUCCCCCUGUUUCCCCGUGGAAGAAGGGAUGCAUGCCUGCUGCGAAUCUGGGGGUUCGCGUUCCGCAGAGAAGAGCAGAAGUGUAGAAGUGCUUUGAAGUGAUCGCUCGCUGGGUGCACACUUUGAUUGGUCUGAGGGCGACAGUUCGGCCUCUUCCCUGGCUCUUCAAAAUCUUUAUUUCAGGGCCUGCUUACUUCCAAAGUGCGGCUGCUCAUCAGAGCCACCUAAGGAGCUCCCAGGGCAGCCGAGGCCCCAGCCCCCGAUCUUCUCUCCAGGACAGAAACUCAUUCUGUCUGUUCUGGUGGGGCAUGCGUGAUCACUAGUAAAGCAGUUGCUAAUGAAAACUGGGCUUUCCCCUGUGGCCCCCAUCUGCACAGGUAGGGGAAGCACUGUUGUUUUUACAGCUCCUGUGUCUUUCUCCCGGGCCACCGCUGAACUAUGUAAAUAACUAGCUGGUUUUCCUUUUCUCUCAUUCUCAAGCCCCACAUAAUUCACAUAGUAGUCCUUUUCAUAUUUGUCUAUAAAUAAGUGAAUGCAGUCCAGGGAUCAGUUCACGUAAACUGCAUUUGCAGUUAUAUUAAAAGCAUCAGGUCCAGAAUGUGUCCCUUAACCUGCUUCCUCCUGGAAUCCUUUGCGUCCUCUUCCAGGACCUUCUCUCUGCAUUUCUUCCACACAACACUUUGAUUAUUCCUCCUCCUUUUUCCUAGUUCUUUUCCUUUUCUGGACAUUUUUUUCCUUAGCUGUUUGUCCCUCUCGUUCUGUGCUACCUUUAUUUUAGUUCCCCAGUGAACUGAAGUUGUUGGAGGACUGGCACCAGAGCACCGGAGUUUUCAUUUGUGUGUAUUCUGACCUUCAGUUCCCAAGGGAUGCUUGCUGGCCCACUCCUGGGUUUCCAGAAGGAGAACAUGGGGUCUGGAACAGUCGGCCCCCAGGGGUAGACGUCAGGAGGUACAGACUGUGCUCGAGUCACCAUCCGCCGUCUGCCUCCCUUUGUCUUCUACUUUUUGUAACAAAAAUUAUCAACUUCGAAUCCCUUAAGAGUGGCCCGUAUCACUGCCCAAACCUCUCACGUUUGCGGGUACUGGCCCGGCCCCUGAGUGCAUUCUGCCUGCAAACAGAGACAGCCCACUUGGACAAGGGUAUGGACCUGGCUGAAAAUCACAACUACACUGGAAAUGGGAAACCAUUUGUUCAUAAAUUUACCAAAAAAAGGAAAUUUCAAGACAGCCUCAUUAAAGACCUGUUAAAAGUUCAUUUACUAGAUAGCUGUUGCUCCUUUGUGAAAACAAAAUUAAAUGUAAAGAACUAAACGAAAAUUAUACUAAGUCACCUUUGCUCCAAUUAUUCUUUCAUUUCAUGACUGCAGACAAAUGUCCUAUCAGAUCAACUCACGAUGUGCACUGAAGAUGUACAUGUUCAGCACCACCCCUUUGUGCUCCUGCAGGCUGAAACCCCUCCAGUAACAGUCAGGGGACAUUAAGGGUGCAGGUCAGUGUCACCAGGGAUGCCGAACAGAUGCUGCUUGUGAUAUCCCGUCAUGAUGUAGACUCUACAAGACAAAAUAAGUAUUUUGACUGUUACUCUUCUCAGACUUCCUUCAAAAUUGACCACACUACCAUUAACAAAAAGUGCUAAUUAUGUCAACCCAAGCUACAACGCAAGAGUUCACUCAGAAGAUAUGGGCAAUGAUUGAAUUUUCAAAAUAUUACAGUAAAAGACACAUUGCUAUUAAUCUUCCUCAGAAUACUUCUCCUCCCUUUGAACACACUUUCUGAAAGUCUGAAUGCACUUUCUGAAGCCUCUCUGGAAGUCCUCUUUCCAGAGUGUCUUGAGUUGCACUGUCAUUGCUGUCUCAAAGUCCUGGAUCAAUUCAAGACUUUGCCUUUUGUGGUCAUGUUGAAUUUGGGAAAGAGUCAGAAGUCAUAUGGAGGCAGAUAAGGCGAAUGAGGACAUCCCAUCAUGUUUUCGUUUCACAGAAAUUGCUGAUUCAGGACGUGGAGGCGGACAUGAAGAGACACUUACGCCGUCCAUGACAGUGGUUGGUAAAGCGUUACCUGCACUGCAACCUGAGUGGCCUUACAUCAUCUCCCGUGGGUAACUGCAGUGAGGGCCUGAUGAACACACAGUAGGAGUGACCAGACAGCUGUGACCAGGACACAGCAUGAUGGGAACAGCUCCUACGAUUUAAAGGAAAUAAGGGUCAUUAGGGUAUAGGAGUCCAGGUAGCAACUUAACCCCCAGAGUCAAGG
ensembl:lncRNA